UACGAGGGGGGCGAGCGUUGUUCGGAAUUAUUGGGCGUAAAGGGUGCGUAGGCGGUUUGGUAAGUCUUAUGUGAAAUCUACAGGCUCAACUUGUAGUCUGCAUGAGAAACUGCCGGGCUUGAGUAUGGGAGAGGUGAGUGGAAUUCCUGGUGUAGCGGUGAAAUGCGUAGAUAUCAGGAGGAACACCUGUGGCGAAAGCGGCUCACUGGACCAUAACUGACGCUGAUGCACGGAAGCUAGGGGAGCAAACAGG
rnacentral:rRNA from 1 species